rnacentral:rRNA from 1 species
AUUGAACGCUGGCGGCGUGCUUAACACAUGCAAGUCGAUCGGUAACAGGUGUAGCAAUACAUGCUGACGAGAGGCGGACGGGUGAGUAAUGCUUGGGAAUCUGCCUAUUAGUGGGGGACAACCCGGGGAAACUCGGGCUAAUACCGCAUACGCUCUACGGAGGAAAGCCGGGGACCGCAAGGCCUGGCGCUAAUAGAUGAGCCCAAGUCGGAUUAGCUAGUUGGUAGGGUAACGGCCUACCAAGGCGACAAUCCGUAGCUGGUCUGAGAGGACGACCAGCCACACCGGAACUGAGACACGGUCCGGACUCCUACGGGAGGCAGCAGUGGGGAAUAUUGGACAAUGGGGGCAACCCUGAUCCAGCGACGCCGCGUGGGUGAAGAAGGCCUGCGGGUUGUAAGCCCUUUCGGUAGGGGAAGAAAAGUCUCGACCUAAUACGUCGGGACCUUGACGUAACCCAACUAAAGAAGC